GAUGAACGCUGGCGGCGUGCCUAAUACAUGCAAGUCGAGCGAACGGACGAGAAGCUUGCUUCUCUUUUGUUAGCGGCGGACGGGUGAGUAACACGUGGAUAACCUACCUAUAAGACUGGGAUAACUUCGGGAAACCGGUGCUAAUACCGCAUAAUAUUUUUAACCAUAUGGUUCAAAAGUGAAAGACGGUCUUGCUUUCCCCUAUAGAUGUAUCCCGGUUUCAUUAGUAAUUUGGUAAGUUAACGGCUUACCAAGGCAUCGAACAAAAGCCGACCUGAGAGGGUGAUCGGCAAAAUUGGAACUGGGCAACGGUCCAGACUCCUAGGGGAGGCAGAGGAAGGGAAUCUUCGGCAAUGAGCGAAGGCCUGACGGAGCAACGCCGCGUGGGUGAUGAGGGUCUUCGGAUCGUAAAACUCUGUUAUUGGGGAGGAACAUAUGUGUAAGUAACUGUGCACAUAGUGACGGUAACUAAUCAGAAAGCCACGGCUAACUACGUG
rnacentral:rRNA from 1 species